UGAAAACUAUUCUGUAGUUUUCUACUCUGUUCGUUAUCCGGCUAUCCAACUAACAGCAGAAACGGCUUAGUUGAAUAAUACGAUAAAUACGAUAAAAUUUUUUAAAAAAUAGUAUCAGAUGAAAGUUCGAUUGGCGGUCCUUUGAGUAUUACGAGAUAUAUUUGUCGCAAAACGCUCAAGAGUGGGCUUGCUGUAAGUUUGAGCGAGCAGAGCUGGGCUGGAUUCAGCUCCUUCUAGUCACGCGUUCCACGAAUCGUUGCGUGCGUGCUGCUAAUCCGAAUCAUCGACACGGGGUGUUUUUCUUUCGAUAAUUAAAAAUAAUCGAGAAACGAUACGCAUUAAGUGUAUACACAUCAAUACGAGAGAAUGCGCGUCAGAGAGAGAGAGAGAGAGAGAGAUAUUAGUGAGUCAUUCGUGACGAAAUAAAGGUGUUGGUUUCUACGUAUGAUGAAGAAAGAUGAGAGAGGGAAGGUUAGUCGAUGAGACGCGUCAUUGCGCGCGUCGCAUCUGGUCAGCGCGGAGAAUAAGAUAACCAAGUUCGAUUCGAGCGACCCGAGAACGUCAAAGAGUUAUGACAGUGCACGAUUUGUCAGUGUCGAUGGAAAGGAAGAGUAUCAAUGUUAUGAAAAGCGGUCGCGGGGAAUAGUGACGUAUUUAGGGCGACUGGUGAAGUCUGUAACGACGAUGCGAUCCGAUCACGGUUUAACUAUUCCGUUUGCUCGUCGACGGAAGAUAAAUUCCCAUCCUGAGCAAGAAGCAAGUUGCCUCAACACGGAUCAGUCGCGCAGUUGACGCGCUCGUCAAGGUGCGAGUCAAGGAGGUUACCGUAGUUUAAGCGAGCUGGAGUGGACCGGAGCGUGAAUGUGUUGCAAGAGGCGAGCACGUUGCCGCCGCCGUCGUCGUCGUGGUCGUCGUCGCCGUCGCCGCCGUCGUACUGUGAAAACGACAGUGAUGCUCGAUCAGUAGGGCGCGUCACUUGACGUGGGACGAAGAUUCCCGUGAUGUGUCCGCACGAGGGUGUCCGGUCGAGGCAAGAAGUAGUGGAAAGAAAGCAGGGCAAAAAGAAGGAAGGGGGUGCCGCGCCGGUUUGAACACGCCGGCACGCUAGAUUGCGGUGGCCUAAAGCCCUCGCUCUCUUGUUCCUUGGAAAAUGAACUCCAUGCUAUAUACUCUCUACGGGUUCGCGAUAUUUUUCAUGAUAUUCUGGUCGGGUAUGUGGGUGGUUCACGUGCUGGCAUUGAUUGCCGGUCGUUGGAAGCUGCAUCGGAAGAUGAAUCAGGCAGCGAGCUACGAGACACCGCUGCCAGGAGUAUCCGUGAUAAAACCCCUGAUGGGGGUUGAUCCAAAUCUUUUCAGUAACCUCGAGACCUUCUUCACCAUGGAAUAUCCCCGAUACGAGCUCCUAUUUUGCGUCGAGGAUGACUCCGAUCCCGUGCUGAUGUUGGUGCGCAAGCUUGUUGAGAAGUAUCCGGAAGUCGAGGCCACGCUCUUCGUCGGUGGUUGUAAAGUAGGGGUGAAUCCAAAGAUCAACAACAUGCAACCGGCGUACGAGGCCGCCAAGUACGAACUUGUGCUGAUCAGCGACAGUGGCAUACGCAUGAAGGAGGACACUCUACUAGAUAUGGUCCAUCAUAUGACGGACAGAGUGGCUUUGGUUCAUCAGAUGCCGUUUACCUGCGACCGCGAAGGUUUCGCCGCCGCGUACGAAAAGAUCUUCUUCGGUACGGUGCAGUCACGGAUGUACCUAGCUGCGGAUAUGCUCAGGAUAAACUGUCAUACCGGUAUGUCAGCACUCCUGAAAAAAUUCACAUUAGACGAGGUCGGUGGUCUAAAAGCGUUUGGCAUCUAUCUCGCAGAGGAUUUUUUUUACGCGAAAUCAUUGACCGACCGCGGCUGGCGCAUCACCGUCUCCUCGCAGCCGGCGCUACAGAACAGUGGCCAUUGCGCGGUCGAUUCCUUCCAAGCGCGACUACGACGAUGGGCUAAAUUGAGGGUUGCAAUGCUGCCUACCACCAUUGUUCUCGAACCGUUGAGUGAAUGCCUCGUUCUGGGUGGGUUCGCUUCCUGGGCGGCCAGCGUCCUGUUCGAGUGGGAUUCUCUAGUUUUUUAUUUGGUACACAUACUCUUGUGGUUUAUGUUCGAUUGGACGUUACUGUGUGUAGUACAGAACGGUCCGCUGCCUUUUAACAAACUUGAGUUUGUGUGCGGUUGGUUGCUCAGUGAAAUCACGAGACCGUACCUUUUCCUUCAGGCUGUCUUGGAUCCUCUCAUACAGUGGCGUUCACGUGUUUACAAGCUCAAAUGGGGUGGCGUCGCGGAGGAAGUUAAGGCGAAAGUCAAAUAUUAAAAAUUCAUGCGUUAGAAUAAGAAGGACGGAACUGGAUGAGUUAAAGUUGUGAUUUGCAAUAGUUCUUCCUUACAAUUACUGAAGGCUUCUUCCGUUUCAAGAACUCAUCGAGGGAACUAAACUUCUGUCACGUUUCCUGUUAUCCUUGAGAAAUUCUAAGUCGGCUUGGUUCCCUGACUAGAAACUAAAUAUCUAAGAAAAAGGAGUUCAAAAAUGCCGAAAAGACAUUUAGAAAUAUUUAUCGUUAAUCCACUGUGUUGAAGUCGUUCAAAAA